GACGAACGCUGGCGGCGUGCUUAACACAUGCAAGUCGAACGGAAAGGCCCUGCUUUUGUGGGGUGCUCGAGUGGCGAACGGGUGAGUAACACGUGAGUAACCUGCCCUUGACUUUGGGAUAACUUCAGGAAACUGGGUCUCAUACCGGAUAGGAGCUCCUGCUGCAUGGUGGGGGUUGGAAAGUUUCGGCGGUUGGGGAUGGACUCGCGGCUUAUCAGCUUGUUGGUGGGGUAGUGGCUUACCAAGGCUUUGACGGGUAGCCGGCCUGAGAGGGUGAACGGCCACAUGGGGACUGAGAGACGGCCCAGAGUCCUACGGGAGGCAGCAGUGGGGAAUAUGGCACAAUGGGCGGAAGCCUGAGGCAGCAACGCCGCGUGCGGGAUGACGGCCUUCGGGGUGUAAACCGCUUUCGCCUGUGACGAAGCGUGAGUGACGGUAAUGGGUAAAGAAGCACCGGCUAACUACGUG
rnacentral:rRNA from 1 species